rnacentral:rRNA from 1 species
UACGUAGGGUGCAAGCGUUGUCCGGAAUUAUUGGGCGUAAAGAGCUCGUAGGCGGUCCGUCACGUCGGCUGUGAAAACCUGGGGCUCAACCCCGGGCCUGCAGCCGAUACGGGCGGACUAGAAUUCGGUAGGGGAGACUGGAGUUCCUGGUGUAGCGGUGAAAUGCGCAGAUAUCAGGAGGAACACCGGUGGCGAAGGCGGGUCUCUGGGCCGAUACUGACGCUGAGGAGCGAAAGCGUGGGGAGCAAACAGG